rnacentral:snRNA from 1 species
AUACUUACCUGGACAGGGUCAAUGGGUGAUCAAGAAGAGCCAUGGCCUAGGCUAGUGAGCUCCAUUGCACCUUUGGAGGGGUGCUAGUCUAAGGUCUCUCUAAUUGGGAGAACCUAUGUCAUAAUUUGUGGCAGAGGGGACUUGUGUUCGCGCAGACCCCAC